UGGGGAAUUUUGGACAAUGGGCGAAAGCCUGAUCCAGCAAUGCCGCGUGUGUGAAGAAGGCCUUCGGGUUGUAAAGCACUUUUGUCCGGAAAGAAAUCCUUGGCUCUAAUACAGUCGGGGGAUGACGGUACCGGAAGAAUAAGCACCGGCUAACUACGUGCCAGCAGCCGCGGUAAUACGUAGGGUGCAAGCGUUAAUCGGAAUUACUGGGCGUAAAGCGUGCGCAGGCGGUUUGCUAAGACCGAUGUGAAAUCCCCGGGCUCAACCUGGGAACUGCAUUGGUGACUGGCAGGCUAGAGUAUGGCAGAGGGGGGUAGAAUUCCACGUGUAGCAGUGAAAUGCGUAGAGAUGUGGAGGAAUACCGAUGGCGAAGGCAGCCCCCUGGGCCAAAUACUGACGCUCAUGCACGAAAGCGUGGGGAGCAAACAGGAUUCAGAUACCCUGGUAGUCCACGCCCUAAACGAUGUCAACUAGCUGUUGGGGACUUCAUUUCCUUAGUAACGUAGCUAACGCGUGAAGUUGACCGCCUGGGGAGUACGG
rnacentral:rRNA from 1 species